rnacentral:rRNA from 1 species
GACAGAGGUGCCGAGCGUUAGGCGGAAUCACUGGGCUUAAAGCGUGUGUAGGCGGACUUCUAAGUACCUUGUGAAAUCCCACGGCUUAACCGUGGAACUGCUUGGUAUACUGGUUGUCUUGGGCCAUCUAGGGGCUACUGGAACAAACGGUGGAGCGGUGAAAUGCGUAGAUAUCGGGAGGAACACCUGUGGCGAAAGCGGCGCACUGGACCAUAACUGACGCUGAGGCGCGAAAGCUAGGGGAGCAAACAGG